UACGUAGGGUGCGAGCGUUGUCCGGAAUUACUGGGCGUAAAGAGCUCGUAGGUGGUUUGUCGCGUUGUUCGUGAAAACUCACAGCUCAACUGUGGGCGUGCGGGCGAUACGGGCAGACUGGAGUACUGCAGGGGAGACUGGAAUUCCUGGUGUAGCGGUGGAAUGCGCAAAUAUCAGGAGGAACACCGGUGGCGAAGGCGGGUCUCUGGGCAGUAACUGACGCUGAGGAGCGAAAGCGUGGGAGCGAACAGG
rnacentral:rRNA from 1 species